UAACAAUGAUUUCCCUAGUAACGGCGAGUGAACAGGAAAGAGCUCAAAGUUGGAACCCGUUUGGUUUAGCCAAACCGGAUUGUAAACUGUAGAAGUGUUUUCCUGACACGCCUGAUGAAAAAGUCCAUUGGAACAUGGUGACAUAGAGGGUGAGAGCCCCGUAUUUCGUCAGAGCUGUUGUCUUUUGUGAUACACUUUCAAAGAGUCAGGUUGUUUGGGAAUGCAGCCUAAAUUGGGUGGUAAAUCUCACCUAAAGCUAAAUAUUGGCAAAAGACCGAUAGCGAACAAGUACCGUGAGGGAAAGAUGACAAGACCUUUGAAAAGAGAGUUAAACCAGUAUGUGAAAUUGUUAAAAGGGAACCGGUUGGAGCCAGACUGGGUUGAUUGUAAUCAAUCUAGAUUUCGAUCUGGAUGCACUUGCAGUCUAUGCCUGACAACGACAAUUCAUUCUGGAGGAAAAAACUAGGAGGAAUGUGGCCCCUCGGGGUGUUAUAGCUUCUUAGAAAAUACUCUGGGUUGGAUUGAGGAACGCAGUGGAUGCUAUUUGGAGAAGUUGCUGAGUGCUUAUAUUGGUACGUGUUAGAAUCUCUGCUCCGGGUGGUGCUAGCAUUUACUGGUAAAACUCGCUUGGUAAUCUUUUCAUCCCCUUAGGUUGGUGGCUUAAUCACUCUAAAUG
rnacentral:rRNA from 1 species